rnacentral:rRNA from 1 species
UACGGAGGGUGCAAGCGUUAUCCGGAUUCACUGGGUUUAAAGGGUGCGUAGGUGGGCAGGUAAGUCAGUGGUGAAAUCUCCGGGCUUAACUCGGAAACUGCCAUUGAUACUAUCUUUCUUGAAUACCUGGAGGUCAGCGGAAUAUGUCAUGUAGCGGUGAAAUGCUUAGAUAUGACAUAGAACACCAAUUGCGAAGGCAGCUGGCUACACGAAUAUUGACACUGAUGCACGAAAAGCGUGGGGAUCAAACAGG